rnacentral:misc_RNA from 1 species
ACACAAAUUUUUAGACAAAUAAGCAUCACUGAGAAAACAAGUUUUUAGGCAUCGAAAGAACCGUUUAUGUUGCAUGUUAAUUGCUAAGCUUUAGGUUUCUAAAAUGUCUCAUGGUGCAAACUGAUUGGAAGGCAAGAAUCUGAAGCUCAGCAGUCAACAUCUGUAAUCUAUUAAUGCAAAAACUACAAUUUUCUUUUUUCCUUUUUUAUCCAGGAACUAGUUCUAUAUCAGUCUCUCUCUCCCUCUCCCCAUUUCUUUUCUUCCAACAAAAGAAGAAAACAUUGCUAAUGAAAUGAAGAAACAUACAAAGUGGAAGGUAAAUAUAUCCUCCUCUUUAUGCUAAAAGAUAA